CGGCGGACGGGUGAGUAACACGUGGAUAACCUACCUAUAAGACUGGGAUAACUUCGGGAAACCGGAGCUAUUACCGGAUAAUAUAUUGAACCGCAUGGUUCAAUGGUGAAAGACGGUUUUGCUGUCACUUAUAGAUGGAUCCGCGCCGCAUUAGCUAGUUGGUAAGGUAACGGCUUACCAAGGCAACGAUGCGUAGCCGACCUGAGAGGGUGAUCGGCCACACUGGAACUGAGACACGGUCCAGACUCCUACGGGAGGCAGCAGUA
rnacentral:rRNA from 1 species